GACAACACACUUAUCGGGGCAAUUUUGGGAUGUUUAGGCUUGGGUGGAGACAUGGACUUUUGGAAGAGAUGUUGGGACCCGUUACUGGAAUACAAGAUUUGGAACAAAAGUGGUUGACAAUGCUAGAGUCGAAAGCAAGUGUGAAAUUCACAUUGAAAAUGACAGGAGAUGGUUGCGCAUGAUCUGUAGGUUCAAUCAACCUCGCUGUUUUCGUUAGAAUCACAAUUAAAGCGUUAACGUAUAAGGAGAACUCUCAUUGCAUCAACUCGAACAAACAUUCUUCUACUUAGUUGCUUAGCU